ACAACUGUGAUUCCCUUAGUAAUGGCGAAUGAAACGGGAAGAGCCCAUCGUCGAAUCGCAAGUCAUUCAGGCUUUGUGAAAUGUGACGUUUGGGAGGGUCUUCCACAGCUCGGACGAUCAGUCAAAGUCCAACUUGACAGUGGCCACAGUCCAUAGAGGGUGAUAGGCCCGUAAGGCGGUUGUCCGGCUGUGCUGACCUCUCUCUAGAGUCGGAUUGCUUGGGAGUGCAGUCCAAAGUGCGAGGUAAACUCCUCGUAAGGCUAAAUAUAACCCCGAGACCGAUAGCAAACAAGUACAGUGAUGGAAAAUUGAAAAGAACUUUGAAGAGAGAGUUAAGAGUACGUGAAACUGUGUGGUGGUAAACGGAGGCGUUCUCGAAGUGUCCGUGGGGGACUCAAGCUUGGUGGCGGGCAGCCUGCGGGUGGUGAUCAGCAAUGACUCCGCCCGUUGUGUCGGCUUGCCUCCCGGCCGCACUUUCCCCGCGGUUGACGGCAGGAACUGUUGGGACUGGACCUAAGGCUCGGGAUGAAGUUGCCGGCCCUCACGGGCUUGUAGCUCCCGGUGUCCUGGCUUCGGGCCCGACAGGUUACGAGCGGACUUGUAUAGCAAGCGACAGCCUGUUGCGGUUCGCCUCUCUCUGCCGAGUAGGUCGGUGGCGCCUCCGACCCGUCUUGAAACACGGACCAAGGAGUCUAACAUGUAUGCGAGUCAUUGGGUUGACUAAACCUAGCGGCGCAGUGAAAGCAAAGAGUUGCUUGCAGCUCGAGGGACGACGUGCAAACCGCAGUCCCGCGAUUUCCAAUCAACCUCGCAUUGUUGGGAAUACGCAGAGCAUAGAUGUUGGGACCCGAAAGAUGGUGAACUAUGCCUGGCCAGGUUGAAGUCAGGGGAAACCCUGAUGGAGGACCGUAGCGAUUCUGACGUGCAAAUCGAUCGUCGGAGCUGGGUAUAGGGGCGAAAGACUAAUCGAACCAUCUAG
rnacentral:rRNA from 1 species